UAUGUACUCCCUCCGUCCGAAAAUACUUGUUCUAGAAAUAGAUGAAUUUAGACUUAUUUUAGUUAUAGAUACAUCUAUUAUAUUUAUUUUUAGGACAAGUAUUUCCGGACGGAGGGAGUAGUUC
rnacentral:pre_miRNA from 1 species